CUAUAUUAUAUAAAAAUUGACAAUAAUCUUGCAGAUUACCUUACUAAAGGCCUUAAAGGGACUAAGGUUCUAGAGUCGUCGAGGGGCAUAGGACUUGGCUUAUAAUAGGCCUUCCAACCGUAAAAAUCCAAUCUUUAUGAUAAGGGACCUCUUGAAGGAGAUUUAAUGUAGUAAUAACAAGCUGAUUGACUGAUCAAAGAGCAUAUAUUUUUAUAUAUGUAAAAGAGUCCUCACUCUAUCCCUUUCUUAUAGUGAUUAGUGCUCUUGUGUA
rnacentral:lncRNA from 1 species